CCAAGGUGUAAACCUUGCCCUGUUCCAUAGUAGCCGGAUGCAGGCUCAAGCCUCAGGAGGAUCACCGGGCAUGCGUACUGUCUGCAGAUCAAUAUGCAUGCAACAUACGUAAGAGAUAGGUUAGUUACAUCAGAUGCAUAAUGUAUUAGACCCCCAACAGCCGUCAGGAUCUUCAAAACAGCGAGGCGAGGUCUCAGGGAUUCGGGCAAGAAGACACAUACGCUGACCAAGCAAAGGAAGCUCAGUAGCAUAUUCGUACGGUCAUUGGACUGCUACCUUAUUAUUUCUGGUUGAGAGAGAGUAGGGGUUGAAGACGACGUCUCGGCCGUGCUGCCUCACUUGGGACAAUGCCAUCCCAUUACAUAAGCAAACUUUACCAAAACCUACUCUUCUGGACAAUGGUGCAAGUACAUUAUGCAGAAAAAAAGCUCUGAAGCUGGAUGAUGGAUUGCCCAGCCAAUGCUUUUUUGCCAUGGAUCAGAUGGUAUAUACGCACAAUCCGGAAGCAUGUUGAUUACUUCCUAACAUUGGCUGGAUGCACACGUACUGACGUACAAGAGGACUUGAUGGAAUCUUACCGGAUGGAAAAACACCCACAAGCAAAACAUGCACCUGGACAGGAAACCACACAUCGUGGUUAAUUCCAGCAUGCUCCAUCUCACGUUGUCCAUGUAGGUGUAGUUGGGAUGUGUUCUUUGUUUACAGAUUUGUUUGGAUGUGUUCUAACUCUACUUACUUUGUACAGCUUGCAUAUGAUUUUUCAGACCAUAUUACCUCAAUAUGAAAUUUAAGAUAUGUGGUUUGGAAGUAGAUAUUACAAUUAGGACUAAUUGUAUUGGUAUAUGUAUUUUCUUUGAAAUAAAACAAUAUAUCAGUACUAGAAAUUUAUGAUGUGAUGGUUCAUGUACACGCUGACCCAUUGUUUAGGUGACUUCAGCCUUCCGGAUUUGAGUUAGGAAAAGGACAUGAUUGUCCUGUUGAAUUCGGGAUCACCAUGAGUGAUUAAUCAAAAUGCAAUACUGAUAACCAUAAGAAAUAUGUUACUACAAAAAUCAGAAAUAUCUAUCCGUUUAUUUAACAGAGUAAAGUUUCAUGGCCAUUAAAUAGGAUAUAUAUAUAUAAGUGAACAAAAUUUACCUACCAAUGCCAUUAUAAUCGUAAUAGCACCAACAUGUUUUAUUUGGCAAUUUUUGUUUUUGAAAAGGUGGAUCUAUAUGGCUGUCAAAAAAGAUGGGUUAACUAAAAAAAGAUGGGUCUAUAUCGCUACACUUUUGCCUUGCCCUAGAGGCGAGCCGCCAAAUUGCUCUUGCCCUGUUGCUUUGUUGAUGUCGUCGUCUGACUGCUGAGGAUAGAGGAAGAUAAGUAAAAUCUCCUCCAUAGUUCACUGGUGUUAGGCCUACAUCUUCCUUGCCCUUCUGUCUGAUCUAUACUGCUAUGAGUCAAAGACGACGGACGUCGUCAUGUUGGGCUGUAUGCUAUGAAAAAAUUGAUCCACACAGGUGCAGCUCAAAUUCAUGUGUAUGUGCUAAUUGAUCCUUAUAGGUUAUGUUAGCUAGGUGCAGGAUUUCAUCAUGAAGGAAUUAAAUGUAGCUUGCUUUGUCGUCUUGCUGGUAGUACUAUAUAUGCUUGUGGGCCGGUGCCAAAAGAGGUCGCAGGUAAGCAUGCUUCUCCUCUUCCAAAUCCCUCCACAAUCAAACUUAAACACUAAUAAUGAGCCUAUAUAUGUUCCACACGAUUGUAGAGAAACGACUGUUUAAACAAGCACUGAUGCUGCAUAUAUGUUUGACACAUAUACCUAAGCCCUGACUCCUAUGAACUUGCGUAGUGUUUAUUUGAGACCAAAUGAUUUAUUUAAUCGUUAAUCCAUGACUAAUUCUGCUGCAGUCUUACUCUUGAUUGAUUUUAUAAUAUACUCCCUCCGUCCGGAAAUACUCGUCCGAGGAAUGGAUGUAUCUAGAUGUAUUUUAGUUGUAGAUACAUUCAUUUUUAUGCAUAUCUUCGACAAGUAUUUCUGGACGGAGGGAGUACAAAAUUUCCAAUUGCCGUAUUCGUCAUAAUGUCACGUUAUUCUCUUUAAUUCAAACAUUUUCAGGGAUGUAGUUAAACACAAGCAGUGAUAGUAACAUUGUGCAAUUACCUUUGUGGUUUGAUAGGUUCGCGCUUAUCCGCGGGUCAGGUUGACAUUCUAGGGUACAAAAUAAAGGCCAUAGAGCACACUCACUUGAUCAGUGUAUUCAGCAAGACUCCUAGAGUCCCAAUACGCUGGACUACAAGAAGUGCCAACCAUUGGUACCACAAGACAAUGGGUACGAUAACGAAGCAAGAAUCGUCUGUGAAGCAAGCAACAACAUGGUGGAGAAACGAGCUCCUGGAUUUUCUGGCCAAGCACAUCAACUGACUCACCAUCAUACUUCGUCAACCUAACGCAAACCCUCAAUUUCUUAACGUUUGUUAUGUAUUUUUCUAGCAUUAGAUCGAAACCAUGGUCUUGGAGAACUAUUGUAAAAGAAACUUUUGUUCUGUUACGAUACUACUUAAUGAAAGGUUAGGAGAAUGAUGUUUUGUUAAA